GAUGAACGCUGGCGGCGUGCCUAAUACAUGCAAGUCGAGCGAACGGACGAGAAGCUUGCUUUUCUGAUGUUAGCGGCGGACGGGUGAGUAACACGUGGAUAACCUACCUAUAAGACUGGGAUAACUUCGGGAAACCGGAGCUAAUACCGGAUAAUAUUUUGAACCGCAUGGUUCAAAAGUGAAAGACGGUCUUGCUGUCACUUAUAGAUGGAUCCGCGCUGCAUUAGCUAGUUGGUAAGGUAACGGCUUACCAAGGCAACGAUGCAUAGCCGACCUGAGAGGGUGAUCGGCCACACUGGAACUGAGACACGGUCCAGACUCCUACGGGAGGCAGCAGUAGGGAAUCUUCCGCAAUGGGCGAAAGCCUGACGGAGCAACGCCGCGUGAGUGAUGAAGGUCUUCGGAUCGUAAAACUCUGUUAUUAGGGAAGAACAUACGUGUAAGUAACUGUGCACAUCUUGACGGUACCUAAUCAGAAAGCCACGGCUAACUACGUG
rnacentral:rRNA from 1 species